GCUUUCUUGCACUGAGCAUCAACCCUAAGCAGCGGAAGUGGACACUUCUGUCUCAACAUACACAUACAAGAGACAUAAGUCAAAUCUGUUGCUGCCCGUCCCAGAAAACCACCAUCAGCAUCCUGCCGGACAUACAAGAGGCUAAACCAUGAUCAAGCGCAAGCUGAGCUUCAAGUGGUUUGGUAGCCUCACAAACCUCCGGCGGAAAUCAGAUGCGCAGAAAGAUGACGAAUCAGUCAAAGAAAUGUCCACCGACGACAUGGGCAUGCAUCCACGAAGCCCGAGCUAUGCCACCUCUAGUGAAAUGUACACACACAUGGGCACCAUGCCGCGCCAUUCUAAGAAGGACAAAAACUCGAAAAAGAGCAAGACCAAAGACAAGGCCAACCUCACUCGGAGCCAAAGCUUGAGACCAGACCAUGUGGUUGAAUCUCCUCUCCUUAGUAUGCUUUCUGGAAAGGGGCUGGAGGUUCUGGAAAACCCCAUUAUUGAAGACAAGACGGCUUACAUCCAGAAUCGAGACCUUCCACCUCCUCCAUGUGUGGAUGGACACUCAACAAGGCUGGAAGAUGAAAAUAAGAAGCUUGAAGUAAACUUCAAACAUGUUGAUGCAUCGAAUGCAUGUCUGGGAGCUUCAAUAGAACUAUGCGUGAGCCAAGAGUCAACGGUCCAGCCAGUGUUGCCCAAGAAGAGACUUAAAGAAGGAGACAAACUGAUGAAGGACACUGAGGAGCUCAAGGAGGACAAUAACUUGAUCCAGUUGCCUCAGAAGACUGGCAACCAGAUGGAGAAGAAGAUAGCAGUAGAAGAAGAUGCUAAUAUAGUGUGGAACUAUAAACUUGACGGCCAAGAAGAGAAGGAGUUAAACAGUGAACUGGACAUCACAGAAAACCAGGGAGAAUAUGUGGAGGUAAGGCUGUUUUCUUUUAAACAAGAAGUCAAUGGGUAAAGUGUGUUUAAACUAGACAAUCUCUCAUUGUUAAUGAGAAGAAUCUGGAAGGAAUUUCCUUAAGAUCUGUCUGGUCUUUGAUUUAGGCUAUAUUUUUAGACUUUCUCCAGACAGCAUGCUGAAUAUGGCUAUUUCAUGCUUAAUUAGGCAAAAUCCCUGUAUUCAUUACCUAAAAGCACCAUUUUAGAUGUAAUAAGAAAUUAAUCUAAUGAGGUCUUUUGAAAUGUGCUGAUUUGGUACAAAUUAAUGUCCUUUCUAGCCCUGUUCUUACUUGCAGCCAUUAAGAUAUUAGAUUCUCCAUUUAAUUGCUGUGUAGUAAACUCUGUCACCUCAAGAUGGCGCUGCGAACUGGCUUUGAAUUCUUGAAGAAAAAGUAGAGAAAGAAACUUCAAAACAUUUUUUUCAUUUUCUGUCGGCAUAGUUUCUGAUUUAUUAGAAAUCUC
rnacentral:lncRNA from 1 species